UCCGACAACCCUUGAGAGAGGUUGUAGUGGAUACCACUGCUUACUGGGUUAACACAAGGAAAAUGGUGGUGAAUGGCUUUCUCAGACCUAUGGAAUACUGAUUUUGCUCUUGGUUAGGCUCUGGCAUUGAAGAUAAAUCAUCAUUAUGAGACAUAAGGAACCUCUGCAUCGCUUGGCUAUUGGUUGGCUCUGGAAUUCCUGAUUUGGAAUUCAUUUGGAUUAACUACGCGGGAUCAUUGCAAUUUGAAACCAAAAGCCAGACUUCUUGGUGUGCUUGGGCUCCUUCCCACGACCUGUUGACUUGGUUCUUCUCUGAAACCCUGUGGAUAUUAUACAUAAUAGAGACCAGGAGGAGAGACAGAGAGACAGAGAGAAAGAGAAAUAGAGAGAGAGAGGCACAGAGAGAGAGAGAGAAAUAACGUACAGUAAUUAUUUAUUCUGGUAAGCCGGCUCAAACACUCUGCCACAGCACUACAGGAAGUUUCCCUUAGACUGCUGCCUGUCAGGCCUGACCACAAGGCAUGAACUCCCUUUCAAAGAGCACAAAGAGCAGGGGGAAGCAGCGACAGCGUUCUGCGGGAGACGGUGUUGACGCGGCCCUAUAUUGCCCCCUCCAUGGGGUACGGCUCGGCCAUCUCUGAGAUAUGGAUGGCCAAUGGUGGGACCAUGCAUCUUGGCAUAGCGAGGCCUUGUCUAUGCACCCGAUGACAUGGCAAACCGUCCAAAGAUGGCGAGCGCCUGAUUGGGCGGAUUAUACUAAACAAGAGGAUGAAGGAUGGAACAGUGCCCCGAGACACAGGAGCUCUGCUGGGACU